GACGAACGCUGGCGGCGUGCUUAACACAUGCAAGUCGAACGGUGAAGCUCCAGCUUGCUGGAGUGGAUCAGUGGCGAACGGGUGAGCAACACGUGAGCAACCUGCCCCUUACUCUGGAAUAAGCGCUGGAAACGGCGUCUAAUACUGGAUACGAGAAGGGUCCGCAUGGGCACUUUCUGGAAAGUUUUUCGGUUGGGGAUGGGCUCGCGGCCUAUCAGCUUGUUGGUGAGGUAAUGGCUCACCAAGGCGACGACGGGUAGCCGGCCUGAGAGGGCGACCGGCCACACUGGGACUGAGACACGGCCCAGACGCCUACGGGAGGCAGCAGUGGGGAAUAUUGCACAAUGGGCGAAAGCCUGAUGCAGCGACGCCGCGUGAGGGAUGACGGCCUUCGGGUUGUAAACCUCUUUCAGCAGGGAAGAAGCGAAAGUGACGGUACCUGCAGAAGAAGCACCGGCUAACUACGUG
rnacentral:rRNA from 1 species